rnacentral:rRNA from 1 species
AUGGCUGGCGGGGACGAGCAUGAGCAUGACGCGCCGGGUCGGCUGGAGAGCACCCUGACGGACAAGUCGGCGCCGCUGGCGGAGCCCGCGUGGGCGGCGGGAGCGGUCGAGCUCCGGCUGCUGUCGCGGCUGGCGGCGCCCGCGGUAGUGGUGUACAUGAUCAACUACGUCAUGUCCAUGUCCACGCAGAUCUUCUCCGGCCACCUCGGGAACCUGGAGCUCGCCGCCGCCUCGCUCGGCAACACCGGCGUCCAGACCUUCGCCUAUGGCCUCAUGAUCGAAAUGUUCGGAAGAUCGGCGAGAUUUGAGAGCACAUGCUCUCCGACGGCCGUGGAUCUUGCAGGCACGCAGUCUCCUGCUGGCAAGCUGAUGGCCACAAAGUACAAACACAUCCACAGCUUAGAUUAG